rnacentral:rRNA from 1 species
AUUGAACGCUGGCGGCAGGCCUAACACAUGCAAGUCGAGCGGAUGAAGGGGGCUUUCUCCUGGAUUCAGCGUCGCGCGGGUGAGUAAUGCCUAGGAAACUACCUGGUAGUGGGGGAUAAAGUCCGGAAAAGGGCGCUAAUACAGCCUACGUCCUGAGGGAGAAAGAGGGGGGUCUUCGGACCCCACGCUAUCAGGUGAGCCUAGGUCGGAUUAGCUAGUUGGUGGGGUAAAGGCCUACCAAGGCGACGAUCCGUAACUGGUCUGAGAGGAUGAUCAGGCACACUGGAACUGAGACACGGUCCAGACUCCUACGGGAGGCAGCAGUGGGGAAUAUUGGACAAUGGGCGAAAGCCUGAUCCAGCCAUGCCGCGUGUGUGAAGAAGGUCUUCGGAUUGUAAAGCACUUUAAGUUGGGAGGAAGGGCAGUAAGUUAAUACCUUGCUGUUUUGACGUUACCAACAGAAUAAGCACCGGCUAACUUCGUG